AGUCAGGGGAAUUUAAAACGGCAGUCCACACGUGGUGUCUUGUGGAUUCGCAACGACGAUUUCAUCCUUCGUUUUUUUGUAUGUUCGCUACCGAUUCCUCCAGCCUCCGUGCAUACAAAUCUCGCGCCACUUCAAUGCUCUUUAAUUUCUCUUUCCACUGCAGUGAAGCUCAUCCUUGUUAACGCAAAACAAUGGUGAAAGCUGUUGCUGUUCUCGAGAGCAAUCAGGGAGUGAAGGGAACCGUCUUCUUUAACCAAAAUGGCAAUGGUCCAACUACAGUUAGAGGAAAUAUUUCUGGCCUUACGCCAGGGCUUCAUGGUUUCCAUGUUCAUGCCCUUGGGGACACUACCAAUGGUUGCUCAUCGACUGGGCCUCAUUUCAACCCUGAAGGCAAAGAUCAUGGUGCACCUGAUGAUGAGAAUCGUCAUGUUGGUGAUCUAGGAAAUUUGGUUGCUGGUGAUGACGGUACUGCUACUUUCUCUAUUAUUGACAAACAGAUUUCCCUUGUUGGAACAAAUUCCGUUCUUGGAAGAUCUAUUGUUGUCCACGCCGAUCCCGAUGAUCUUGGCAGGGGUGACCUCCACCAGGAUGACCAAAUAAAGAAAUCUGAAGCAUAAUCUGUGAACUGUUCUGAUCUUGUCUGCAGGUCAAACCGAACUUAGCCUGACCACUGGCAAUGCGGGUGAGAGAAUUGCUUGUGGCGUUAUCGGGCUGCAAGAGUGAAGUACAUUUCGACCGCCAUGGUUUAAUGAUGAGCGAUGAAGUAGCGGAGUAUGCAAAGCUAUACUUUGGUUUCCAACACAUAUACAGUGUAUUAAACUUGGUAUGUGAAAAGGUAUGAAAAGGCAUGGUGAAGUUGGAAGUCUUAUAUCAGAAGUAAAUAAGAUUAGAGUUUAUUGUAUCAAUACUCCACUUCAUAUAGAUUUACAUUAUAAACAAAUGAUAUUUUGCUCCUUUCAACAA